rnacentral:misc_RNA from 1 species
GAUCUCUACCAAGAGAUGUGAAUGGAAUUCUCCCAUCCUCUUCCCUUCAACAUGGCAACUUAAAAUGGUCAUCUCUGGUUGUUCAAAGACAAUAAAAUUCAGUCCCCUGAUAUCCUCAAAUCCAACCUACAAAGUUGACCAAUAUUAACAUCAAGUUUCGCAUAAGAGCAAAAGAGGUUGAAAUUAUACAUAGUUGUUGAUUCACUGAGUCAUAUCACAUUAAUUAAAAAUGAAAAUUAAACUGUGAAACCAAGUUGGAUGGGCUUUUCAUUUAUUUAUUUCUAUUUAUUUAUUAUUUUAAAUGAAGACAAUAACCUUAACAGUGAUAGAUUCUGGUGAUGCACGUUCAAUUCUAGUGGUACCCAAGCCAUGCUUUUCAAC